rnacentral:rRNA from 1 species
GCAGUCGAGCGAACGGAUAAGGAGCUUGCUCCUUUGAAGUUAGCGGCGGACGGGUGAGUAACACGUGGGUAACCUACCUAUAAGACUGGAAUAACUUCGGGAAACCGGAGCUAAUGCCGGAUAACAUUUGGAACCGCAUGGUUCUAAAGUAAAAGAUGGUUUUGCUAUCACUUAUAGAUGGACCCGCGCCGUAUUAGCUAGUUGGUAAGGUAACGGCUUACCAAGGCAACGAUACGUAGCCGACCUGAGAGGGUGAUCGGCCACACUGGAACUGAGACACGGUCCAGACUCCUACGGGAGGCAGCAGUAGGGAAUCUUCCGCAAUGGACGAAAGUCUGACGGAGCAACGCCGCGUGAGUGAUGAAGGUUUUCGGAUCGUAAAACUCUGUUAUUAGGGAAGAACAAAUGUGUAAGUAACUGUGCACAUCUUGACGGUACCUAAUCAGAAAGCCACGGCUAACUACGUGCCAGCAGCCGCGGUAAUACGUAGGUGGCAAGCGUUAUCCGGAAUUAUUGGGCGUAAAGCGCGCGUAGGCGGUUUCUUAAGUCUGAUGUGAAAGCCCACGGCUCAACCGUGGAGGGUCAUUGGAAACUGGGAAACUUGAGUACAGAAGAGGAAAGUGGAAUUCCAUGUGUAGCGGUGAAAUGCGCAGAGAUAUGGAGGAACACCAGUGGCGAAGGCGACUUUCUGGUCUGUAACUGACGCUGAUGUGCGAAAGCGUGGGGAUCAAACAGGAUUAGAUACCCUGGUAGUCCACGCCGUAAACGAUGAGUGCUAAGUGUUAGGGGGUUUCCGCCCCUUAGUGCUGCAGCUAACGCAUUAAGCACUCCGCCUGGGGAGUACGACCGCAAGGUUGAAACUCAAAGGAAUUGACGGGGACCCGCACAACGGUGGAGCAUGUGGUUUAAUUCGAAGCAACGCGAAGAACCUUACCAAAUCUUGACAUCCUUUGAAAACUCUAGAAGAUAGAGCCUUCCCCUUCGGGGGACAAGUG